rnacentral:rRNA from 1 species
UACGUAGGCAGCAAGCGUUGUUCGGAGUUACUGGGCGUAAAGAGUGCGUAGGCGGUCCUGUAAGUUUGGUGUGAAAUCUCCCGGCUCAACUGGGAGGGUGCGCCGAAGACUGCAGGGCUUGAGUAUGGGAGAGGUAAGCGGAAUUCCUGGUGUAGCGGUGAAAUGCGUAGAUAUCAGGAGGAACACCGGUGGCGAAGGCGGCUUUCUGGACCGACACUGACGCUGGAGGCGCGAAAGCGUGGGGAGCAAACAGG